rnacentral:lncRNA from 1 species
GCGAGAGAGUGAGUGAGAGUGAGUGAGUGAGAGAGCGAGAGAGCGAGAGCUCCAGCCUGGCGCGUGUGUGUGUUUUAUUUUCUCGAUAUCUGGAGGAACAGAGGCGCUGGAACAGAAAUGGAUUGAGAAUAAUUUAUCAGAGCUGUGCUGCACCGACUCUACGGGCUCUGGGAGCCGCAGUGUUGAACCGCGCGAGCUGUUUUAAGAUGCCCCUCUCCUGCCUCUAAUCAGCAUGCCUUAUGGGAUUAUUCCUUUGCAACAUUGAUAUCCCAUCAAAGUUUACAUUCCAUUAUAGGAGACCUGAAGUAAAAGCUCAACUUUCUACAAAACGUUUCAUAAUAAAACUGGAGCAGAGUAUAUUUUAAUACUUUCUCUACCAUUUUGGGAUUUUGUUUGUUUUUAUUUUUUUACUGUCCUUUGUCCUACUAUCCCACUGGGUGAAGGCUUAUCAUGAGAUUCCGAAUCUACAAGAGGAAAGUUGUAAUACUGACUCUGGUGGUGGUUGUGUGCGGAUUUGCCUUUUGGAGUAGCGGGAAACAGAAAAAAGAAAGUGCAGUUUUUCCAAAGGAAGUCGAGACUGUUAGGAGGAGCAGCAUAAAUGCAGAGUACCCAGACUCAUUUGGCCAUUACCGCGAAGCCAAAUUCUCUCAAACCAAACACCACU